rnacentral:rRNA from 1 species
GAUGAACGCUGGCGGCGUGCCUAAUACAUGCAAGUCGAGCGAACAGACGAGGAGCUUGCUCCUCUGACGUUAGCGGCGGACGGGUGAGUAACACGUGGAUAACCUACCUAUAAGACUGGGAUAACUUCGGGAAACCGGAGCUAAUACCGGAUAAUAUAUUGAACCGCAUGGUUCAAUAGUGAAAGACGGUUUUGCUGUCACUUAUAGAUGGAUCCGCGCCGCAUUAGCUAGUUGGUAAGGUAACGGCUUACCAAGGCAACGAUGCGUAGCCGACCUGAGAGGGUGAUCGGCCACACUGGAACUGAGACACGGUCCAGACUCCUACGGGAGGCAGCAGUAGAGAAUCUUCCGCAAUGGGCGAAAGCUUGACGGAGCAACGCCGCGUGAGUGAUGAAGGUCUUCGGAUCGUAAAACGCUGUUAUUAGGGAAGAACAAAUGUGUAAGUAACUAUGCACGUCUUGACGGUACCUAAUCAGAAAGCCACGGCUAACUACGUG